ACUGCCCCAGAGGUGUAACAGGUAUGGCUGCUGUGUCAAAUGUGUGUAAGUAGGUGGCAGAGUCAAAAGGCUGCAACUAUGCUCUGUGUUCUGACCCGUGAACAUCUGAAUGAUUAGUAGCCUAACAUU